rnacentral:rRNA from 1 species
UACUCUGGUGAAGGAACUAGGCAAAAUAGUACCGUAACUUCGGGAGAAGGUACGCCCCUAGUACGUGAAGGCCCAGCGGCCGGAGCGGACGGGGGUUGCAGUGACCAGGUGGCUGCGACUGUUUACUAAAAACACAGCACUCUGCAAACGCGUAAGCGGACGUAUAGGGUGUGACGCCUGCCCGGUGCCGGAAGGUUAAGUGAUGGGGUUAGCCGCAAGGCGAAGCUCUUGAUCGAAGCCCCGGUAAACGGCGGCCGUAACAAUAACGGUCCUAAGGUAGCGAAAUUCCUUGUCGGGUAAGUUCCGACCUGCACGAAUGGCGUAACGAUGGCCACGCUGUCUCCACCAGAGACUCAGUGAAAUUGAAAUCUCGGUUAAGAUGCCGAGUACCCGCGGCUAGACGGAAAGACCCCGUGAACCUUUACUAUAGCUUCACACGGGACUUUGAAUCGACUUGUGUAGGAUAGGUGGGAGGCUAGGAAGCCCGGACGCCAGUUCGGGUGGAGCCACCCUUGAAAUACCACCCUGGUCGAUUUGGAGUUCUAACCCAGGCCCGUCAUCCGGGUCGGGGACAGUGUGUGGUGGGUAGUUUGACUGGGGCGGUCUCCUCCCAAAGAGUAACGGAGGAGCACGAAGGUACCCUCAGCGCGGUCGGAAAUCGCGCAGUGAGUGCAAAGGCAUAAGGGUGCUUGACUGCGAGACAGACACGUCGAGCAGGUACGAAAGUAGGUCUUAGUGAUCCGGUGGUUCUGUAUGGAAGGGCCAUCGCUCAACGGAUAAAAGGUACUCCGGGGAUAACAGGCUGAUACCGCCCAAGAGUUCAUAUCGACGGCGGUGUUUGGCACCUCGAUGUCGGCUCAUCACAUCCUGGGGCUGAAGUCGGUCCCAAGGGUAUGGCUGUUCGCCAUUUAAAGUGGUACGCGAGCUGGGUUUAGAACGUCGUGAGACAGUUCGGUCCCUAUCUGCCGUGGGCGUUGGAGAUUUGCGGGAAGCUGCUCCUAGUACGAGAGGACCGGAGUGGACGUACCCCUGGUGUUCCGGUUGUCAUGCCAGUGGCAUUGCCGGGUAGCUACGUACGGACGGGAUAACCGCUGAAAGCAUCUAAGCGGGAAGCCCCUCCCAAGAUGAGAUCUCCCUGGACCCUUGAGGUCCCUAAAGGUCCGUCACAGACUAUGACGUGGAUAGGCGGGAUGUGGAAGCGCGGUAACGCGUGCAGCUAACCCGUACUAAUUGACCGUGCGGCUUGACCCU